GUGUGUGUGGGCAAGGGUAGCAAUUAUUUCCCAAACAAGAACCUGUUAGAUAUGUGGGAGACUAGGUUAAUGAUCAGAUACGUUUUUCUUGUUCAUACGUAGAAGUUCAAAGUCUUUUAAUCAUUACUUGUGUAGUAAAUUGUUAUGUCACUUAAAUCAAUCUGGUUUCAAUGCGUUGGCGUUGAAAUGAUAACCAGGUCUAUAGAACACUACAUUUGAUUUAGACUGACAACGCAACG
rnacentral:lncRNA from 1 species